rnacentral:rRNA from 1 species
UACGGAAGGCAGCAGUGGGGAAUAUUGGACAAUGGGCGCAAGCCUGAUCCAGCCAUGCCGCGUGUGUGAAGAAGGCCUUUUUGGUUGUAAAGCACUUUAAGCGAGGAGGAGGCUCUCUUAGUUAAUACCUAAGAUGAGUGGACGUUACUCGCAGAAUAAGCACCGGCUAACUCUGUGCCAGCAGCCGCGGUAAUACAGAGGGUGCGAGCGUUAAUCGGAUUUACUGGGCGUAAAGCGUGCGUAGGCGGCUUUUUUAAGUCGGAUGUGAAAUCCCCGAGCUUAACUUGGGAAUUGCAUUCGAUACUGGGAAGCUAGAGUAUGGGAGAGGAUGGUAGAAUUCCAGGUGUAGCGGUGAAAUGCGUAGAGAUCUGGAGGAAUACCGAUGGGCGAAGGGCAGCCAUCUGGCCUAAUCUGACGCUGAGGUACGAAAGCAUGGGGAGCAAACAGGAUUAGAUACC